rnacentral:rRNA from 1 species
UACGUAGGGUGCAAGCGUUGUCCGGAAUUAUUGGGCGUAAAGAGCUCGUAGGCGGUCUGUCACGUCGGCUGUGAAAACCCGAGGCUCAACCUCGGGCCUGCAGUCGAUACGGGCAGACUAGAGUUCGGUAGGGGAGACUGGAAUUCCUGGUGUAGCGGUGAAAUGCGCAGAUAUCAGGAGGAACACCGGUGGCGAAGGCGGGUCUCUGGGCAACAACUGACGCUGAGGAGCGAAAGCGUGGGGAGCGAACAGG